GCCGACUUCGGAGGCUGUUUGCCUCGGGUCCUCCCUCCGGCGCGGGGCCCGUCCUCCGGCAGCACCCGGCGCCGCCGGCAGGAGACGGGUCCCCGCGCGCUGCGUCCAGGGUCCUUUGGGAGGAUGAGGAUGUGUCUUUCUCCCUCACAUCAUCCUGUCUUCCUCACGUCACAUCUCACCUAGGGGAGCCAAGCAUUCUCUUGUGCCAACUUUGCCUUCUGAAUGCAAAAAGCAAGCACUGAAAAUGGUCAGUUAAGGAGCAAUUGACAACAACUGCAUCUGUUUAGGAUCUACAAUGUGGCGAUCUGAUUUCACAUCUAUACAUAGUGACGACUGUUACCGUCCAACAAUAACUACUUCAUCUCACUGGUAUCUCUCGUUGUGGACAAUGAAGAGUCUUUAAGAUCUACGGGCAAAUUCCAAGCACACGAUUUGGUGUCGUCAGCCCCACGCAGACCUUCUAUCACAGGACUGAAAGAGGGGACAGUUCGCCCAGCAUCUGUCCAGAUCCCAGCCCCUGGCAGACAGCUGUCUAUGCUGUUUUCACGAGUUAGGCUUAAAAAGGAGUCUACUUGUGGCCCUCCCUGGUGGCGCAACGGGUUAAGCA